rnacentral:rRNA from 1 species
AACGAACGCUGGCGGCAUGCCUAACACAUGCAAGUCGAACGAGACCUUCGGGUCUAGUGGCGCACGGGUGCGUAACGCGUGGGAACCUGCCCUUAGGUUCGGAAUAACUCCCCGAAAGGGGUGCUAAUACCGGAUAAUGUCUUCGGACCAAAGAUUUAUCGCCUUUGGAUGGGCCCGCGUUGGAUUAGCUAGUUGGUAGGGUAAAAGCCUACCAAGGCGGCGAUCCAUAGCUGGUCUGAGAGGAUGAUCAGCCACACUGGGACUGAGACACGGCCCAGACUCCUACGGGAGGCAGCAGUGGGGAAUAUUGGACAAUGGGCGAAAGCCUGAUCCAGCAAUGCCGCGUGAGUGAUGAAGGCCUUAGGUUUGUAAAGCUCUUUUACCCGGGAUGAUAAUGACAGUACCGGGAGAAUAAGCUCCGGCUAACUCCGUG